rfam:Tncultured methanogenic archaeon RC-I complete genome
GCACCGAUGGUCUAGCGGCUAUGAUAUCAGCCUUCCAAGCUGAAUACCCGGGUUCGAUUCCCGGUCGGUGCA